CUAAAUAUACCAAAAUCCCUUUUACCCAUCGUUCUCAACUUCUCAUUCUCACUACUCACAGCCACGCCCAAAGACCCAAAUCCUUUGCCCAUCGUAGAUUGGCCCUUGGUCGUCGCUCUCACCUCCCGUCGCUCUCGCCGCUCGUCGUCCUUCAGCCCUUGGCCGUCGCUGCCGAUGCCCAUCCCAGAUUCUCAGUCUGGUAGUCCCCGAUCCCUACUUCCUGACUUCAUGUCUUCCUCAAUCCUCAAUCCUCAGACCUUAGGUAUGGCUAUUGACUAAUGGCUCUUUGCCUAAACUUUGAUUAUUUGAAUCAAACUAUAGAAAUUCAUUAGGGAAUAAGGAUUACUAAAUUUUGAUUGUUGUUUGACUUGUUCUUUGCCUAAAUUUGAUUGUUGUUUUACUAAAUUAGGGAAUAGAAUUCAAUAGGGAAUACUGGAAUAGGGAAUAGAAUUCAGUUAACUACUUAACUAUAUGUUUGUUUGGCAUGCUUUCACAGACAUAUAUUUAUAUUUUUGGUUAAGAUUAAAGCUUGAUGUUGAAUUGUUGAUCAGUUGAUAUUUAUGUAAGGCACAUCCAUUUUUGUUUGACAGAAAUAGAUGAUGAUAUGUUGAUGAAUUUUACAUAAUGUCUGAUGAACACAUUGAUCGUGUUAAAAGGCCUAGAUCAAAAGAUAUAAGUACAUGGUUUAGUAAAAAGAGUGCUCAAGCGGUUGAAUUUGCUGAAGCGGUUGACAAUGAGGCGGUGAUUAAUGAUUUUGAAGCUUUGGGGCCUCGUAGAGUAAAGUUUAGUUAAUUUUUAUUUAUGCGUUUAAGGGUAAGGCUUACUAUGUCCUCCUAUGUAUGUGUGUCCUUUAUUAAUUAACUAAAAUUUCUCAUAUUGUCGAACAAAAUUUUUUGUAUGCUACAAUUAGCCCAAGUGACAUUUCUCAUACUGGCUCCGCCACUGAAAAUAUCCAUACCUCAACCUAUUGUGAUCGAAUUUCUAAAAUUAAAAUUGUAAGAUUAAUUAUAAUCUCCAAAUCUAUUCCACCGCAAUAAUGCAGUUCUCUUUCUUGGAAGUGGAAACCAAGAGCUUGACCAUACCUUAAAGCCAUAACCAUGCAUAUGGGGUGAAGUACUUUAUAUAAAGGUUAAUAAACACUUAUAUAUUCAGAUAAAACACAUUUUAUUUGAAAUAUAUAUAUAUAUAUAUAUAUAUAUAUAUACAG
rnacentral:lncRNA from 1 species